AAGGAUUUAAGUUAAAGAAACUAGUAACCUUCAAAGUUAUCAAUAAAGACUUAUUCCUUUAAGCCUUA
rnacentral:tRNA from 1 species